GGCUCUCCCUCUCUCUUUCAUAUCAUGGCACCUACACUAUGUCCUUGUGAUGAAAAUAGUUUCCUGGAUCAUUUUUGAUGGGAGGCGCCUGUUUGGGGACUCCACCCUUCAGCUUUGAAUCAGGACCAGCUGGGAGGCUGUAGUUUCUAAACCACCUUGGUUUUAUCUGUCAUUCUUCCCUGUCUCAGUAGUCUCAACAGUGAACUACAUGAGGAGAAAGAGAAAAAUAUCCUGCUGGACGAAAAAUAUUUUGUACCCUCUGGUCAUCUUGAUUCAUCUGACACAAGAACUUUUCAGAAGCUCUGUCGUCCCACCAGAUGAGCCUAAAGUCAGCUCUGCUGUGGAUGGAGCCAAGCUGAAUUUAGAUGCUUCCAUUUCAAUGAAAUAUCAUGUCAAGAUAGAGGAUGAUGCCCUUAAAGGAUCAUCUGACAACACAGAUGGUUUUCAAGAGCAUGUCCUCAAUGAUGGCACAGGUGUCUGCAAACAGAAAAUAAUUACAAGAAAAAUUCUGGUGAGCAAGAGGAAAAUAGCAUGCAGAUUCCCUGGCCUUCAGGCUUCAUAGCUAAAUUCGGAUGAUCUUCCAGGAAUGAAGAAUUCUCCCAAGCUAGAGGAUGAUACUGCACAUGGCUUCUUCACCAACAAGCAUGGCUGCCACAUCAUAGGCCACAUCGAUGACUUUACUGCUCUCAGAGAGCAGAUUGGAGAGGGAAAACAGCUGGUUCAAAAGAUCCAGUCUCUCCUGAGGCCCACAUGCAACUUCCUGGACCAGAGCUCAGAGGUGAAAUCCUUAAGGGCCCUACUGUGUGCUCCAGCAUUGAAACCCUUGCCUUCCAAGAGCCACACAAGCAGCAAAGCCACCACAGGUCCCUAAAGCAUGAGGAAACCUAGGCCUACUCCCCCCUCCCCACAUCUGAACAACUGCCUAACUGCUAAGGAGUAUCUGGGUUCUAUUCCUUCAAAGCUGGUGCAGGUCUGAAGAGGUGAUCAGAGAUGUCUCCUACUAGGGUAGGCAGAAAGGCAGAAUGACUCUCUGGAAGUGAUGGAACACCAGUAGUCAAAUAGCACCAGGCCCAGCUCUAGGCAAAGUGCACCUAAGAUUGCAUAGUGAACCUUGUGACACUGCUUCUGAGCAGCCUCAGUGGCACAGCACCUGCCACAGCACAGUUCUGACCUCAGCAGCUCUCCUCAGAAGAUCAACUUGGGGGAAAUGGUUGCCUCCUACACAGGGGUCAUGUGGUCCCAAUGUGGAGCUCCUUGGCAGUUCUAGAAGCACCCUAGUGAGCAGCAGGGCACUUCUGGGCAGUGUCAGUGGAACUCAUCUAGCACCUUUCACAGAUCCACACCUCACCAGGUAGCAACUCUAGGCCAAGCCAGGCUGGACUUUGCCCUGCACCAUCAGGUCUGACCUCUCUGAGUCCAUGUGAGGAAGGAAAUUGGUGACUCCCUAAGAGGCCCUCUCAUUCAUAGCCUAGCACAAUCUGCUUCCUUUAUUAACAUGUUCUCCAAAUUUUACUGCCCCCACUCCUCCACAUUAAGUAUGCUGUGCCAUUUUGCUAACCUGACAUCCCUCAGGGGAAUAUGAGACUGAUGUCCACACCACGCCUAUGCAAAGUCUUGCGUAUGGCAGCCUCUACUUGUUUCUUAGUGGUGUGGGCCAGGCCCCAAUUGUACUGAGACCUCCUUUGUGUCUUUAGAGUGUUCCUAGGAUGUGAGUAGGUGUGUAUAAAUUGUAAGACAGAGAUUAAUUUAUGUUGCUGUAGCCAUACUUUGAAGGCCAACAUCACUCAUGGACAGGGAGGGUGAAAUAGAGUAAUGGUCUUUCAAUGGCUAUUUUGUUUUUAAAAGCAAAAUUUGUAUAAAUAGUUUCCUUUUGUUGGCUUUGUUUCCCAUUUCUACACCCAUCCCUAGAACAAGUGUUAAGAAUAGAAAAUAAA